rnacentral:rRNA from 1 species
GGAAUCUUCCACAAUGGGCNCGGGGGGGGGGGAANCCUGAUGGAGCAACGCCGCGUGAGUGAAGAAGGUCUUCGGAUCGUAAAACUCUGUUGUUAGAGAAGAACAUGCAGGAGAGUAACUGUUCUUGUAUUGACGGUAUCUAACCAGAAAGCCACGGCUAACUACGUGACAG